UUCAAUUUCAAUUUCAAUUUCAAAGAUGUGCAAUCCAUCAAAACAGAACAUGCUAGUCUUGACACAUGACUCCUCAACAAUUCAUUGAAAAAAAAAAGUGAGGUAUGAAUAUCCUCUUCUAACUACCAAGUUAUUAAGCAAGUUCUUGUUCUGUGGAGUUCACAAAAGCAUGAAGCACCUCACACUCUGAGGAGCAUUGAUGUAUGCAACCUUACCCCUGAUUUAAGAGGCUAUUCUGCAGCUGGAACUCGUACAUCCCAAAUGGAAACUUUACUGUUCCACCUCUUAGAGUUCAUAAAAGCAUUCAAAUCAAAUUCAUUUGCAUCAUUAACAUUCAAGGCCUUUAAUUGCAAUUGAAUUCAAGAUAAUUACAUGAAUUGAAUUCAAACUUAGUUACAAACAGAUAGAAAGAAUCAUAAAAUGGUUCUAUAUCCAUUCACACAAGAAAUCAAUUUAAAAAAAGCGGGCAAUUCAAUUGAUAAAACUGAAUUAAUCUGACCUCAAUAAAAUCGCUUAGAA
rnacentral:misc_RNA from 1 species